UUCCCUUCCUUUUUUGUUAGCAAUUGUAGAACGUAAAUUAAAGCUUUAUUUGGACGCUUUUUAGUUGUUCGGAGUAGAUCCAUUAUGUUGCCUUCGUUAAUUGAUAAUGAGAGCUUUACGUCUGGCCCGGCGCAAACCUCUUAUAUGUGGGAUUAUUCUAAAAGCUGAAUGUCGAUAUUUAAUGCAACACCGGAAAUAAUAUAAUAGUUGUUUAUGACCCUUUCUCGUGUUUAGAUUAGUUUUAAUUACAGAAUAAAGCAAUAAUAUCGGCCAGAAUGGCUACGAACAGACUCGUAGAAUGGGUCAACGCGCUUAUCACACGAUUCGAAGAACAGCUUCCGUGUCGUGCUGGACCCCAAACGACUCAUUCAAGGAUAAACGAAGAACAAAAUCAAAUUUGCCUUAUAGAAAUUAGUCGCUAUAAAUUCUCAUUAGUUAUCUCAGGGCUAACUAAAAUUUUACAACGCGUCAAUGAGAGUUAUGUAACAGCCAUUUCAAAACCUCAUGAAAAAGACUUUGAGCGGAAUUGUUAUGAAUCCCUGCUCAUAGUUUUAGAUACUCUCGAACAAUGUCUUUCCUUUUUGCCAAAAGAUACGACACGCUUUGAUGAAGCAAUGAAUGUAAAAUUACUGUUGAGAGAACUCUGUCAGUUUUUAGAUCCUAGCGAUAAUCCUCAUGCAAUGCAAUUGAAAACAUUAGCAACUAAAGUUUUAUUUGCAUUAAGUCUAAACUUCUUUAAUGCUGUUUUUAAAAGAAUUUCAGCAAGGCUUCAAGAACUAAGUGCCUGCAAUGAAGAAAAUCCUGAUUACACUGAUAUCGAAUUGAUUCAAUAUAUCAAUGUUGAUGUAGUAAAACUCACCCAGCUCUUAAAUGAAACAAUUCCUAAAUUUAAGUCACUGAAAAAAUCUGCACACCAAGUUUUAAUGACUUCGUUAGAAAGAGCCAUUUGGAAUUGGAUGGAUACGUAUCCUGAAGAGUUCUCCAAAGUACAGCAAAAAAUAAAUGAUGAAUUAGCAAAAAGCGCUGAUUUGUUAUUUGACACAUUAGACCAAACUGUUGACAAUAAAAAAUGUAGAGUUUCAUCAUGGCCUCUACAGAUUAUGCUGUUAAUAUUAUCACCGAGAGUCUUUGAAGAGAUAUUAAAUGCUGAUGCUGGUGCACCUUGUUCCCCGAGGCACUCAAGGAAAAAAUCAUUCAUUGAAUCAGUGAAAAAAUCAAUUUCAUCCCAUACAAGUAAACAGCUAACAGAAGCAGCUGCAAUAACUUGUGUAAAGUUAUGUAAAGCAUCCACUUACAUAAAUAAAAACUCGGUUAAUGUUGUUUUUCAACUUGUUCAAUAUAUUAUUAAUGAUUUAAAGGCACUUUUGUUUAAUCCCGCGAAACCAUUUCCGCGUGGACAAAAUAUGGUUGUCCAUGAUAUCGAUUUAAUGAUUGACUGUUUUGUAUCUUGCUUUCGAAUUAAGCCGCACAACAAUGAAGCGCUUAAAGUUUGCUUAAACCCUCAAGCCCCAUGUACAUAUCAUUAUGUGCUGGUCAGCUCUUUGUACAGGAUAAUAACACAGACAAGUUUACACUGGUGGCCUCAAAUCGAUUUGGUCUACAGUAAAUCUUCAGAACUGCGCUCUAUGUUUACAGAUACUUUGAAUAAAGCAACUCAAUGUUUUAUGACCCAAACGCCUCUCAGAGUUAUACAGUCUCUAACUAUGAAGAGCAAGGAUUCUGUUCCAAAAUUUAAAGAAAGAAAUGAAGAAGCUCCUGGGUACCGUGCUCUUUUGCUUCGAAUGGUUCGCUUGAUACAUGCUGAUCCUAUGCUUAUGUUGAAUAAUCAAGGAAAGGCUGGUCAUGAAAUUCAAAGUUCAACUCUGGAGUUAAUCAACGGUUUAGUUAGCUUAGUACACCAUCCAACAAUGCAUGAUAUAGCUCAUGAAGCUAUGGAAGCACUACUGGUAUUGCACCAACCAGAAAAAAUAGAAGUUUGGAAUCCAGAAGCUCCAAUAAACACUUUCUGGGAUGUAAGUUCUCAAGUGCUUUUUUCAAUAUCCCAGAAACUUAUUCAACACCAAAUAGUGAACUACACCGAUGUAUUAAAAUGGUUGAGGGAAAUUUUGGUCUGUCGAAAUGAGUUUUUGUCUCAUCACAAGGAUUAUGCAAAUGUUGGGAGCCACAUAGCAAUUUGCAAACAAGCCCAUAUUAAACUUGAGGUUGUUUUCUUCAUGUAUCUUUGGAGCACGGAUAUUGAAGCAGUCUUAAUAGCAAUGAGCUGUUUUGCGCUGCUCUGUGAAGAAGCAGAUAUACGCUGCACUACAGAAGAUAUAACAGUUACAACAUUAUUACCCAAUUAUCACUUAUACCAAGAUUUAGCACAGGCUUCUACCAUUCUUACAACAGCAAGUGGAGAUUCUCGUCUAUAUUGCAGGGAACAAAACCAUGGACGAGCAGUGCUGCAAAAACGAAUUAUGGCACUACUUAGAAAAAUAGAACAUUGUGUCAAUGGUGUUCAACCAGCAUGGGAAGAAACUUUCAGAAAUUGGGAAAUCGGGACAAAAUUUUUGACAUCCUAUCCUAAAACAAAGCUCGAAGAUGGACAGUUGGAGCCAUUUCAUCGAACAGCUGGAAAACGUCGAGCUUCUCAUCAAAAUUCAGAUCACGAACUGGAGGACCAAAUCAAUGAAUGGGCCAACAUGACCGGGUUUUUAUGUGCCCUUGGUGGCGUAUGCCUACAAAGAAAAUCUCCAGUUCGGCCUAUGAGCAAUAUGAAUGAUGUCAGAAAAAAUACAAUUCUUCCCAAUCCUACCCAGGAGAUACAGUAUUGCCCUGUCACUCAAUUCAUUGGCCAUCUGCUUCGUUUGUUAGUUUGUAACAAUGAAAAGUGCGGUGGACAGAUUCAAAAACACGUAAAAGAACUUGUGGGACAUGAAAUGUCUGCUGCAUUAUAUCCAAUACUAUUUGAUCAAAUCAAAUCAGUUGUUGAAAAAUUUUUUGACCAACAAGCUCAAGUUAUUGUAUCUGAUAUAAAUACACAGUUCAUUGAACAUAUUAUAUUCAUAAUGAAAAAUGUAUUAGAUAGUAAAAGUGACCAACCUGCAGACCAUCUUGGAGUUACAAGCAUAGAAGGAAUGAUGUUAGCUAUAGUAAGAUAUGUCAGACAUUUGGAUAUGACAGUUCAUGCCAUCCAUAUUAAGACUAAACUAUGCCAACUGGUAGAAGCCAUGAUGAAAAGGAGAGAUGACCUUGCAUUCAGGCAAGAAAUGAAAUUCCGCAAUAAACUCGUCGAAUAUCUCACGGACUGGGUAUUAGGAACGUCCCAUCAGAUUGCUCCCCCAGGCUCUGGUGAUGCUUCUAUUAUUACCAGAGAUUUAGAUCAAGCGUGCAUGGAAGCAGUAGCUGCACUCUUACGUGGUCUUCCAUUGCAACCUGAGGAAUCAGACCGAGGAGAUUUAAUGGAAGCAAAGAGUCAGUUAUUCCUAAAGUACUUUACUUUGUUCAUGAAUCUACUGAAUGACUGUAGUGAAGUGCCAGAUGUAGCGAAAGAUGUGUCAAGACAGCGGGUAUCUGAUGGCAAACUUACAACUUUAAGAAAUUCGACAAUUCAAGCAAUGUCAAAUCUACUUUCUGCAAAUAUUGAUAGCGGUCUAAUGCACAGUAUUGAUCUGGGCUACAACCGAGACCUACAAACAAGAGCCGCUUUCAUGGAAGUUUUGACUAAAAUAUUACAACAAGGCACUGAGUUUGACACGUUAGCUGAAACUGUGCUAGCUGAUCGAUUCGAACAACUUGUUCAAUUGGUUACCAUGAUAAGUGACAAAGGAGAACUCCCAAUUGCUAUGGCGCUUGCAAAUGUAGUUACAACAGCACAAAUGGAUGAACUAGCAAGGGUUUUUGUAACCCUUUUUGAUGCGAAACACCUACUGGCUCCAUUAUUAUGGAACAUGUUUUAUCGUGAAGUUGAAGUAUCAGACUGUAUGCAGACGCUAUUUAGAGGGAAUUCUUUAGGUUCGAAAAUUAUGGCGUUUUGCUUUAAAAUCUAUGGUGGGACAUAUUUGCAAAAUUUAUUAGAACCUCAUAUAAGGCCUCUAAUUGAGGCCACUCCACCAUCACUGGAAGUUGAUCCUGCGAGAUUAGACCCAGCUGAAAAUAUAGAUCAAAACAGGCAGAAUCUUAUUCAAUUGACUCAAAGGGUAUUUGACUCUAUUAUCUCUUCAGCUGACAGGUUUCCACCCCAGCUGAGAAGUAUGUGUCAUUGCUUGUAUCAAGUUCUUAGCAAACGGUUCCCACAAAUUCCUCAAAAUAAUAUAGGUGCUGUAGGGACAGUCAUAUUUCUGCGUUUUAUUAACCCUGCAAUUGUGUCUCCACAAGAAAUGGGAAUCGUUUCAAAGAUUGUACCUCAGUCAGUUAAACGAGGACUUAUGCUGAUGUCAAAAAUAUUACAAAACAUCGCCAAUCAUGUUGAAUUCAGCAAAGAGCAGCAUAUGAUCCCAUUCAAUGACUUCCUAAUAUCACAGUUUGAGAGAGCUCGAAGAUUCUUUAUUCAAAUUGCAUCAGACUGUGAGACAGAGGAUCAAGGAUCACAUUCCAUGUCUUUCAUUAGUGAUUCCAAUGUUUUGGCACUCCAUAGGCUUCUUUGGAAUCAUCAAGAAAGGAUCGGUGAUUAUCUGUCAAGCAGUAGAGAUCACAAAGCUGUUGGGCGGAGACCUUUUGACAAAAUGGCAACUCUUCUUGCCUACUUAGGCCCACCAGAACAUAAACCUGUUGACUCGCACUUGAUGUUUUCCUCCUACCCUCGUUGGGGAUCAAUUGAGAUGUCAGGAAACAAUUUUGAGGAAAUCAUGGUUAAACACAACAUGCACGAAAAAGAAGAAUUUAAAUCAAUCAAAUCAUUGAAUAUAUUUUAUCAAGCAGGAACAUCGAAGGCUGGUUAUCCUGUCUUCUAUUACAUAGCUCGACGUUAUAAAAUUGGGGAGACUAAUGGUGAUUUGCUGAUAUAUCAUGUCAUACUAACAUUAAAGCCGUUUUGCCAUGCUCCAUUUGAAAUUGUUGUGGAUUUCACUCAUACAUGUUCUGACAAUCGCUUCAGAACUGAUUUCUUACAAAAAUGGUUUCAUGUUUUACCGGAUAUGGCUUACGCUAACAUCCAUGCUGCAUACAUUUAUAACUGUAACAGUUGGGUCCGAGAAUAUACAAAGUAUCAUGACAGAAUCCUGGCUUCCAUAAAGGGUAAUAAGAAGUUAAUUUUUAUUGAAGCACCAGCAAGAAUUAAUGACUUUAUCGAACCUGAUCAACAAAAACUGCCAGGAGCUACACUUUCUCUGGACGAGGAUCUCAAAGUUUUCAAUAAUGCUCUUAAACUUUCUCAUAAAGACACAAAAGUGGCAAUAAAGGUUGGGCCGACAGCUAUACAAAUAACAUCUUCUGAGAAGACUAAAGUUUUAUCGCAUUCAGUCCUGCUUAAUGAUGUUUAUUAUGCAUCUGAAAUUGAAGAAGUUUGCCUUGUAGAUGAUAACCAGUUUACUUUAACAAUAGCAAAUGAAUCUGGUCCUCUUUCUUUCAUACAUAACGAUUGUGAUAGUAUUGUGCAGGCAAUCAUUCAUAUCCGAAAUAGAUGGGAGUUGUCACAACCUGAUUCUGUCACCGUCCAUCAAAAGAUAAGGCCGAAGGAUGUGCCAGGCACUCUUCUUAACAUGGCUUUUCUGAAUUUAGGAUCGUCUGAUCCAAGCUUGAGGACUGCUGCUUAUAAUCAGCUGUGUGCCCUUACAGCAACAUUCGACUUAAAAAUAGAAGGACAGCUGUUGGAAACUUCCGGCCUGUGUAUUCCAUCCAACAAUACAAUUUUUAUCAAAUCUGUUAGUGAAAAGUUAGCUACUAAUGAACCACAUUUAACCUUGGAAUUUCUCGAAGAAUGUAUACAAGGCUUCCGAGUGUCCACUAUAGAACUUAAACAUUUGUGUUUGGAAUAUAUGACUCCCUGGCUUCCUAACCUGGUUAGAUUUUGUAAACCAGCUGAUGAAAACAAAAGGCAACAAAAAGUAGUGCAGAUUUUGGAAAAAUUGAUAUUAUUAACUGUCGAAGAAGUUGAAAUGUAUCCUUCAAUUCAGGCAAAAAUUUGGGGAUCAAUUGGGCAGGUCCCAGAGCUUAUUGAUAUGGUACUCGAUAGUUUUAUAAAGAAAUCGAGUGAUGGUGGAUUCGCUUCUCCUGUGGCGGAAAUACUGGCUGAUACUGCUGUAGCAUUAGCUUCUGCCAAUGUACAACUAGUGGCAAAGAAAUUCAUUGGGCGACUGUGUAGGGUUCUUGACAAAACAUGUACAUCGCCUACACCAUUACUUGAAAACAACGUGCUAUGGGAUGACAUUGCAAUCCUUGCACGAUAUUUGUUGAUGUUAUCAUUCAACAACUGUUUAGAUGUUGCAAGACACCUUCCAUACCUAUUUCAUGUCGUGACAUUCCUUGUUUGCUCAGGAUCAACCAGUAUGCGUGCUUCAAUGCAUGGGUUGGUUAUAAAUAUAAUCCAUUCCCUCUGUACUUGCACUAAACCAACCUUUACGGAGGAAGCACAGCGAGUACUGAGAUUAAGUUUAGACGAAUUCUCACUACAAAAAUUUUAUCUACUCUUUGGUAUAAGCAAAGUUAAAUCUGCUGCUGUAUCGGCAUUCAGAUCUAGCUAUAGACACCCUAAUGAUGGAAGGCUACAGUCCGAAAGAUAUUUGUUAGGGAUGGUACCAGACAGGGAAAAAAUUGCGUUAACAUCCCUUGAAAUAAUAACUGACGCCCUUCUUGAAAUUAUGGAGGCUUGCAUGAGAGAUAUUCCUGAUUGUGAAUGGUUGAACACAUGGACUUCUCUAGCGAAAAACUUUGCAUUCUUUCACAACCCUGCCCUUCAGCCGAGAGCUUUAAUAGUAUUUGGGUGUAUAUCAAAAAGCAUAACUGAUCAAGACAUCAAACAACUAUUAAGGAUUCUAGUUAAAGCACUAGAAAAUUUCAAUGAUACUGUUCUUCUUGAGGCUCUUGUUAUGUGUCUAACGAGAUUGCAGCCUUUGUUGAGACCGGAAUCCCCAAUCCAUAAAUUUUUAUUCUGGGUCGGUGUAUCAGUACUUCAAUUGGAUCAGCUUACGCUUUUUGCAUCCGGCCUUGCAUUACUUGAGCAAAAUUUACAUACUUUAGAUUCUCAAGGGACGUUUGAUGAAAAGCCUCUAGAAGCUGUAAUGAUGGCAACUCGUGAACCCUUGGAGUGGCAUUUUAAACAGCUCGACCAUGCGGUUGGCUUGAGCUUCAAAGCGAACUUCCAUUUUGCUUUGGUCGGUCAUCUUUUGAAGGGUUUCAGACAUCCCACACCUACUACGGUCUCACGAACAGCUAGAGUCCUCACAUCACUGUUAGGUAUCGUGGCUAAACCUCACAAAAGGGAUAAAUUUGAAGUUACACAAGACAGCGUAGCCUAUUUAGCAGCAUUAGUUGCUGUUUCUGAAGAAGUCCGUAGUCGCUGUCAUGUUAAACAUACAACCGUCAGACCAGAAGCACAUUUUAACAUGGUAACACAGUUGGGGUCUCUAUCUGGUGAAAAUCGAAGUGAAUCAUCUCUGCUGUCGAAUCAACGUCAGAAGUCUUGGGAUUUGAUGGAUCAGUCGAUAUCUAUUCAGAAUCGUGUUCACAAACAACAGUGUCAGGUAGGAUCAUCAUCAAUGGGUGCAAAUGAGAGUAGUGCUCCCAUUAAUAGUAAAGGAUGGCAUAGUUUGGAUCUUGGCUCACAGUUGCCCAAUCUUCAAGCUUCAAGGGCAGCAAAAUUCAGGACCCGAUUUAAAAGGUCUUCAUCUGUUCCAUCUCCCAACAGUGGUUCUCCUCAUGAUUCUGCUAAAAAUCGGAGCGCACGUGUAUCAGUUUCAAAUGAAAAUAACGUGCUGCUUGAUCCAGAAGUCUUAACAGAUCCAAGUGUCCAAGCACUUGUGUUGACAGUACUUGCAACACUUGUCAAGUAUGCCACUGACGAAAUGGAAAUUAGAAUUCUCUACCAGUACCUUGCAGAAGCUUCAGUUGUCUUUUCAAAAGUGUUUCCUGUGAUCCACUCAUUGUUGGACGGAAAAUUGACUAGUUUGCUCUCUACAUGCCAUGACCAAGUUCUUCUCAAUUCAGUGCAAAGUAUUAUUCAAAACAUGAUUGCUUGUGAAGAAACAAGCUUGCAACAAUUACAUUACUUGCAAUCUUGGGGGUUUGGAGGCCUUUGGAGAUUUGCUGGACCAUUUACAAAAAGCGUAUGCACUGCUGAAAGUGCAGAGCAUUUCGUCAAUUGCCUAGAAGCCAUGGUGGAAAUGUGCAUGCCAAUGGAAGAAGGGGAAUUAGAUAUAGCACAGUAUCCAUCUAUGUUAAGCGUAUCUUCCAACAUGAAUCUUUCAUCUUCUUUAUCCAGCUUAACAUUAGGCUCUCCAACUGAUAAAGAUUCGUUGUUGGAUGGAGAUGGGUCAAUUUCAAGAGGGACGUUCAAUAAAUGUCGUCCUCCGGGUAAAAAAAUGUCAGGUGAAUGAGAUUCACUAAGGCUCCUCAAACUGAACCUUAGCUGGUUGUGAGGAGCUGACAAAAAUUUCGGCAAAUUACGCCUAUGCAGCAGGUUCAAUUGAGUGACUCUUGAUCUAAUGGAGGAAUGAAAAAAUACACAAUGAUAUAUGAACACCACCUUUUGAAUAAAUGAAUAAGUUGAAACAAGAUUUAUUCAUAAGAAUAUAAAUAUGUAUUUAAAAAAAAAAUAUAACGACAAUAAUGAAAAAUAAAAUUGUACACAAAAAAGAUUUAACCUUCAAACAGUCGCACAGGGUAGAAAGUUAACCUAGCCCUUUUUUUUAAUUAUUUAUAUUUCUUUAAGUUUAUUGUUAUCAAACUGUAUAAGGGCCAGAUGGUAUAAACAUUUUUUUUAUUUACUAAUAACAACAAUUUUAUCACAGAAUUUGUAUUAAAAACUAUAAAUUUUAAAAUUAAUGAUAUAUAAGUUUUACAACAAUUUCACAAAACUGGGGGACCACAGUAGCUGAGUGGUCAGCUUGCUACACUCUCAACUCGUACACCACACAGUCGUGUGUUCAAUUCCCACCAUAAUUGUAUACUUUUUUCAUGCUCCCCUUCCCCCCUCAAAAAAAUACCCAUACCAUCAAUCUCCUCUCUCCCUGGCUACUAUGAAAGCCAUUUUAAAAAUCACAAAAAUAGGAAGAUAAAUAUUAUAUAUAUAUAUAUAUAUAUAUAUAUAUAUAUAUACACCCCAACAAAUUGCUCAGGUCAUCAUUGGCCCUUUGCCUAUUUGUACUUCUUUUCCUGAUCUUUCAUGCAUUUUUUCAACCUGCAGCCAUUUGAGCGUCUCGUUCUGUUACUGACUCUCUGCUUUUAUAUGACAAUUAAGUCGAUAUCUACAAAUAACCUCUCAUUUGUACCUCAGGUUCUCAUCUACAGAAUAGACACAAAAUAUACAAUACAUAUAUACAUACCAUCACCCGAUACAAGCAUAGAAGCCUCGUGUGACAUUCACUCCCCUCAAAAUUCCUUGAAGCGAGGUUAAACCCCGAAUUUUUUAACUAGAACUGAAAAACUAGAUUUUAAGAGGUAGAUUUGAAGCAUGACGUGGGCCAGCAUAAGGUAGAGCUACUUUGUAUUUCCAUUUUUGUAGUUUAGAAGGUUUUUGCACUACACAAUGCAGGAAGAUCUUUAUCUUGAUACCAUACUCAGUCGGUUUACUUUAUUAGGUUAAUCAGUGAGUAUACUCACGUCAUAAAAAUUAUAGGAAAAAUUAAUCAAAAAUGUCACAAAUUGCUGCUAUUUUUCCCUUUUCUUUUGAUGUGACUUCAAAUCGUAUAUGACAUCUGAAGAGAAACUUCCUAUUGCUCAAGGCAGUACGCGAAAAUUCCUGUACAGACAGAACUGGACAAAUCUGAAACAUUUAGCUGUCCAUACAAAAUUCCUAUUAGAAAUAUACAGACGAAUAUAACAAGCUGAAGAGUAUUUCACAGUAAACUUCUCCCUGAAUUAGAAAAUAAUUUGAAUAGUAAAAUAAGAAGUCCAAGAAAACGUAGAAGGUAUAAAUAGUUGACAGAGAAAAAAGUAUUAGAAUAAACGGUUUAAAAAAAAAAAAAAAAAAAAAAAAAAAAA